rnacentral:rRNA from 1 species
CGAGCGCAACCCUUGUCCUUAGUUACCAGCACGUUAUGGUGGGCACUCUAAGGAGAACUGCCCGGUGGACAAACCGGAGGAAGGUGGGGAUGACGUCAAGUCAUCAUGGCCCUUACGGCCUGGGCUACACACGUGCUACAAUGGUCGGUACAAAGGGUUGCCAAGCCGCGAGGUGGAGCUAAUCCCAUAAAACCGAUCGUAGUCCGGAUCGCAGUCUGCAACUCGACUGCGUGAAGUCGGAAUCGCUAGUAAUCGUGAAUCAGAAUGUCACGGUGAAUACGUUCCCGGGCCUU